rnacentral:tRNA from 1 species
UGCUCCAUAGCUCAAUGGCAGAGCGUUCGGUUGUUAACCGCAGGGUUGUAGGUUCAAAUCCUACUGGAGCAGCCA